rnacentral:rRNA from 1 species
GAUGAACGCUGGCGGCGUGCCUAAUACAUGCAAGUCGAGCGAACAGACGAGGAGCUUGCUCCUCUGACGUUAGCGGCGGACGGGUGAGUAACACGUGGAUAACCUACCUAUAAGACUGGGAUAACUUCGGGGAACCGGAGCUAAUACCGGAUAAUAUAUUGAACCGCAUGGUUCAAUAGUGAAAGACGGUUUUGCUGUCACUUAUAGAUGGAUCCGCGCCGCAUUAGCUAGUUGGUAAGGUAACGGCUUACCAAGGCAACGAUGCGUAGCCGACCUGAGAGGGUGAUCGGCCACACUGGAACUGAGACACGGUCCAGACUCCUACGGGAGGCAGCAGUAGGGAAUCUUCCGCAAUGGGCGAAAGCCUGAUGGAGCAACGCCGCGUGAGUGAUGAAGGUCUUCGGAUCGUAAAACUCUGUUAUUAGGGAAGAACAAAUGUGUAAGUAACUAUGCACGUCUUGACGGUACCUAAUCAGAAAGCCACGGCUAACUACGUG